rnacentral:rRNA from 1 species
AUACGGAGGAUCCAAGCGUUAUCCGGAUUUAUUGGGUUUAAAGGGUGCGUAGGCGGAAUGGUAAGUCAGCUGUGAAAGUUUGCGGCUUAACCGUAAAAUUGCAGUUGAUACUGUCAGUCUUGAGUGUGCAUGAGGUGGGCGGAAUUUGUGGUGUAGCGGUGAAAUGCUUAGAUAUCACGAGGAACUCCAAUUGCGAAGGCAGCUCACUGGGGCAUAACUGACGCUGAUGCACGAAGGUGUGGGUAUCAAACAGGAUUAGAUACCCUGGUAGUCCACACAGUAAACUAUGAAUACUCGCUGUUUGCGAUAUACAGUAAGCGGCCAAGCGAAAGCAUUAAGUAUUCCACCUGGGGAGUACGCCGGCAACGGUGAAACUCAAAUGAAUUGACGGGG